rnacentral:tRNA from 1 species
CCUCCUUUCUAGAGAAAGACGACUAAAGUGAUUACUAUUGAAAAAAAUAGUUUGUUCUCAUUGCUGUUAAUUAUAAUAAAUAAAGUAGAGUCUCAUAGCUCAGCUGGUUAGAGCGCUACACUGAUAAUGUAGAGGUCGGCAGUUCGAGUCUGCCUGAGACUACUAUUUACUUAAUACAUGUUAUUAAGUAUUUGGAAAUUUAGAAGUUGAGUAAAUGAUAUAAUUCAUUUAUAGAGUUAUUUAAUUACUCAUUUUUAUGGGGGAUAGCUCAGCUGGCUAGAGCGCCUGCCUUGCACGCAGGAGGUCAUCGGUUCGACUCCGAUAUUCUCCACUAACAGUUUUAUACUGUAAAAGUUCAUUGACAUAUUGAAAAAGAUACAUAAAAAUUUAGAUUAUUUAUAAUCUAAAGUAAUUCGAUUAAUUGUAGCGCGAGCAACAAUUAAUC